GAGCCUGUAGCAUAGUGGAUAGUGCAACGGCCUUCUAAGCCGUAGGCCGGGGGUUCGAAUCCCUCCAGGCUCGCCA
rnacentral:tRNA from 1 species